rnacentral:rRNA from 1 species
ACAAGCGGUGGAUGAUGUGGUUUAAUUCGAUGCAACGCGAAAACCUUACCACCUUUGACAUGGCAGGAAUCCCGAAGAGAUUGGGAGUGCUCGAAAGAGAACCUGCACACAGGUGCUGCAUGGCUGUCGUCAGCUCGUGUCGUGAGAUGUUGGGUUAAGUCCCGCAACGAGCGCAACCCUUGCCAUUAGUUGCUACGAAAGGGGCACUCUAAUGGGAACUGCCGGUGACAAACCGGAGGAAGGUGGGGAUGACGUCAAGUCCUCAUGGCCCUUAUAGGUGGGGCUACACACGUCAUACAAUGGCCGGUACAGAGGGUAGCCAACCCGCGAGGGGGAGCCAAUCCCACAAAGCCGGUCGUAGUCCGGAUCGCAGUCUGCAACUCGACUGCGUGAAGUCGGAAUCGCUAGUAAUCGCGGAUCAGCAUGUCGCGGUGAAUACGUUCCCGGGUCUU